rnacentral:rRNA from 1 species
GAUGACGUCAAGUCCUCAUGGCCCUUAUGGGUAGGGCUUCACACGUCAUACAAUGGUCGGUACAGAGGGUCGCCAACCCGCGAGGGGGAGCCAAUCCCAUAAAACCGAUCGUAGUCCGGAUUGCAGUCUGCAACUCGACUGCAUGAAGUCGGAAUCGCUAGUAAUCGCGGAUCAGCAUGUCGCGGUGAAUACGUUCCCGGGUCUUGUACACACCGCCCGUCACACCAUGGGAGUGGGUUUUACCAGAAGUAGUUAGCCUAACCGCAAGGGGGGCGAUUACCACGGUAGGUCUCAUGACUGGGGUGAAGUCGUAACAAGGUAGCCGUACCGGAAGGUGCGGCUGGAUCACCUCCUUUC